GACGGAGGGUGCUAGCGUUGCUCGGAAUGACUGGGCGUAAAGGGCGCGUAGGCGGCUCGUGAAGUCGGGUGUGAAAGCCCGGGGCUCAACCCCGGAACGGCAUCCGAUACUGGCGGGCUUGAGACCGGGAGAGGAGGGUGGAAUACCCAGUGUAGAGGUGAAAUUCGUAGAUAUUGGGUGGAACACCGGUGGCGAAAGCGGCUCUCUGGCCCGGAUCUGACGCUGAGGCGCGAAAGCGUGGGGAGCAAACAGG
rnacentral:rRNA from 1 species